rnacentral:rRNA from 1 species
AGUGAACGCUGGCGGUAGGCCUAACACAUGCAAGUCGAACGGCAGCACAGUAAGAGCUUGCUCUUACGGGUGGCGAGUGGCGGACGGGUGAGGAAUACAUCGGAAUCUACUUUUUCGUGGGGGAUAACGUAGGGAAACUUACGCUAAUACCGCAUACGACCUACGGGUGAAAGCAGGGGAUCUUCGGACCUUGCGCGAUUGAAUGAGCCGAUGUCGGAUUAGCUAGUUGGCGGGGUAAAGGCCCACCAAGGCGACGAUCCGUAGCUGGUCUGAGAGGAUGAUCAGCGACACUGGAACUGAGACACGGUCAAGACUCCUACGGGAGGCAGCAGUGGGGAAUAGUGGACAAUGGGCGCAAGCCUGAUCCAGCCAUACCGCGUGGGUGAAGAAGGCCUUCGGGUUGUAAAGCCCUUUUGUUGGGAAAGAAAAGCAGCAGGUUAAUACCCCGCUGUUCUGACGGUACCCAAAGAAUAAGCACCGGCUAACUUCGUG